rnacentral:rRNA from 1 species
UACGAAGGGGGCUAGCGUUGUUCGGAAUCACUGGGCGUAAAGGGCGCGUAGGCGGCCGUUCAAGUCGGGGGUGAAAGCCUGUGGCUCAACCACAGAAUUGCCUUCGAUACUGGACGGCUCGAGACCGGAAGAGGUCAGUGGAACUGCGAGUGUAGAGGUGAAAUUCGUAGAUAUUCGCAAGAACACCAGUGGCGAAGGCGGCUCACUGGCCCGAUACUGACGCUGAGGCACGAAAGCGUGGGGAGCAAACAGGG